AAGGAAUAUUGCUCAAUGGGAGACAUCCUGAAGCAGCAACGCCGCGUGGAGGAUGAAGGGUCUAUGACUUGUAAACUCCUGUAAAGAAGGAAAAAAUUCCCAUUAGAUGGGAGAUGAUGGUACUUCUGGAGUAAGCCCCGGCUAACUACGUGCCAGCAGCCGCGGUACUACGUAGGGGGCAAGCGUUGUCCGGAUUUACUGGGUGUAAAGGGUGCUCAGGCGGAUUUGUAAGUCAGAGGUGAAAUCUUACAGCUUAACUGUGAAACUGCCUUUGAUACUGCAAGCCUAGAGUAUGGAAGAGAGUGAUGGAAUAUCUGGUGUAGCAUUGAAAUGCGUAGAUAUCAGAUAGAACAUCAAUGGCGAAGGCAGUCACUUGGUCCAUUACUGACUCUAUAGCACGAAAGCGUGGGUAGCAAAC
rnacentral:rRNA from 1 species